rnacentral:misc_RNA from 1 species
CGACACUUUCCCUUUACCUAAAAACAACCUAAUCCACGCUUUUCCACCACUUUCCAUAUCCAACUGCCGAGUACAUAUACUUCUUUCUUUUUGUCUAACAAAUUUAUUGUUUUUUCCUACGGGAGAUAGAGGGAGAGUGGAACAGUCACCGGCGAAUUUUAGUACGGUGACGUUGAUGGCGGUUGCCGAACGGCGAAAUCCUCACAGCGAUAAGAAGAUGUUUAGUCUUUGUCCUUUUUGGCAGAGCGGAACGACGAACUCCUCGUCUUCCUCUUCCACGCAUAAUCUCAACCAUAAUCAUGACGGCAACAGCAAUAACCGGCACCUGGAGGUUAAGAAUAGCUCCAAAUCUUCAUCGUCUUCGACGACGGUAUCGACUGUUGCCAGAUCUCUUCUCCCUGCUUGGCGUAGACUCCGUCUCGACCCCGCCAAAAAACUAUACUUUCCGUAUGAACCAGGAAAACAGGU